rnacentral:rRNA from 1 species
UACGUAGGGUGCGAGCGUUAAUCGGAAUUACUGGGCGUAAAGCGUGCGCAGGCGGUGAUGUAAGACAGAUGUGAAAUCCCCGGGCUCAACCUGGGAACUGCAUUUGUGACUGCAUCGCUGGAGUGCGGCAGAGGGGGAUGGAAUUCCGCGUGUAGCAGUGAGAUGCGUAGAUAUGCGGAGGAACACCGAUGGCGAAGGCAAUCCCCGUGGGCCUGCACUGACGCUCAUGCACGAAAGCGUGGGGAGCAAACGGG